GGGGAUAUAGCUCAGUUGGUAGAGCGCUUCCUUAGCGUGAAUCUUACAAUAUGGAUGAGGUCCCGGGUUCAAUUCCCUGUGUCUCCA
rfam:Arthrobotrys oligospora ATCC 24927 unplaced genomic scaffold scaffold00176, whole genome shotgun sequence.